rnacentral:rRNA from 1 species
AAACUUUCAACAACGGAUCUCUUGGCUCUCGCAUCGAUGAAGAACGCAGCGAAAUGCGAUAAGUAGUGUGAAUUGCAGAACUUUGUGAACCAUCGAAUCUUUGAACGCAAAUUGCGCCCUUUUCGGAAGGCAUGUCUGUUUGAGGGCACC